CUACGUGCCAGCAGCCGCGGUAAUACGGAAGGUCCAGGCGUUAUCCGGAUUUAUUGGGUUUAAAGGGAGCGUAGGCUGGAGAUUAAGUGUGUUGUGAAAUGUAGACGCUCAACGUYUGAAUUGCAGCGCAUACUGGUUUCCUUGAGUACGCACAACGUUGGCGGAAUUCGUCGUGUAGCGGUGAAAUGCUUAGAUAUGACGAAGAACUCCGAUUGCGAAGGCAGCUGACGGGAGCGCAACUGACGCUUAAGCUCGAAGGUGCGGGUAUCAAACAGGAUUAGAUACCCUGGUAGUCCGCACAGUAAACGAUGGAUGCCCGCUGUUGGUACCUGGUAUCAGCGGCUAAGCGAAAGCGUUAAGCAUCCCACCUGGGGAGUACGCCGGCAACGGUGAAACUCAAAGGAAUUGACGGGGGCCCGCACAAGCGGAGGAACAUGUGGUUUAAUUCGAUGAUACGCGAGGAACCUUACCCGGGAU
rnacentral:rRNA from 1 species